rnacentral:rRNA from 1 species
CACGUAGGGCGCAAGCGUUGUCCGGAAUUAUUGGGCGUAAAGAGCUCGUAGGCGGACUGUCACGUCUGCUGUGAAAAGCUGGGGCUUAACCCUGGCCUUGCAGUGGAUACGGGCAGACUAGAGUUCGGCAGGGGAGACUGGAAUUCCUGGUGUAGCGGUGAAAUGCGCAGAUAUCAGGAGGAACACCGGUGGCGAAGGCGGGUCUCUGGGCCGAUACUGACGCUGAGGAGCGAAAGCGUGGGGAGCGAACAGG